GAUGAACGCUAGCGGCAGGCUUAACACAUGCAAGUCGAGGGGUAGAGGUUGCUUGCAACCUUGAGACCGGCGCACGGGUGCGUAACGCGUAUGCAACCUACCUUUUACAGAGGGAUAGCCCAGAGAAAUUUGGAUUAAUACCUCAUAGUAUAUAACCUUCGCAUGUUGGUUAUAUUAAAGUUCCAACGGUAAAAGAUGGGCAUGCGUCCUAUUAGCUAGAUGGUAAGGUAACGGCUUACCAUGGCAACGAUAGGUAGGGGUCCUGAGAGGGAAAUCCCCCACACUGGUACUGAGACACGGACCAGACUCCUACGGGAGGCAGCAGUGAGGAAUAUUGGACAAUGGGCGCAAGCCUGAUCCAGCCAUGCCGCGUGCAGGAAGAAGCAUCUAUGGUGUGUAAACUGCUUUUGUACAGGAAGAAACACCCCGACGUGUCGGGACUUGACGGUACUGUAAGAAUAAGGAUCGGCUAACUCCGUGCCAGCAGCCGCCGUAAGAC
rnacentral:rRNA from 1 species